rnacentral:rRNA from 1 species
AACGAACGCUGGCGGCGUGGAUAAGACAUGCAAGUCGAACGAUCACUAUUGGGUAGCAAUAUUCGGUAGUGGGAGUGGCGCAAGGGUGCGUAACACGUGGGUAAUUUGCCGUAAAGUCUGGGAUAACUUGCUGAAAGGCGAGCUAAUACCGGAUGUGAUUGCUGGAGGGCAUCCUCUGGCACUUAAAGUCGGGGACCGCAAGGCCUGACACUUUUCGAUAAGCCCGCGGCCUAUCAGCUAGUUGGUGAGGUAACGGCUCACCAAGGCUAAGACGGGUAGCUGGUCUGAGAGGACGACCAGCCUCACUGGAACUGAGACACGGUCCAGACACCUACGGGUGGCAGCAGUCGAGAAUUUUUCUCAAUGGGGAAACCCUGAAGGAGCGACGCCGCGUGGGGGAUGAAUGGCUUCGGCCCGUAAACCCCUGUCAUUUGCGAUCAAACCUUACGACCUAACACGUCGUAAGCUGAUAGUAG